rnacentral:rRNA from 1 species
UACAGAGGGCGCGAGCGUUGUCCGGAAUUACUGGGCGUAAAGGGCGCGUAGGCGGCCAUCUAAGUCAGACGUGAAAUCCCCCGGCUUAACCUGGGAACUGCGUCUGAUACUGGACGGCUUGAGUAUGGGAGAGGGAUGUAGAAUUCCAGGUGUAGCGGUGAAAUGCGUAGAUAUCUGGAGGAAUACCGGUGGCGAAGGCGGCAUCCUGGACCAUUACUGACGCUGAUGCGCGAAAGCUAGGGGAGCAAACGG